rnacentral:rRNA from 1 species
UCGGGAAUAUUGGUCAAUGGGCGAAAGCCUGAACCAGCCAUGCCGCGUGGAGGAUGAAGGCCUUCGGGUCGUAAACUCCUUUUCUGAGGGAAGAACAGCCUGGGGAGGAAAUGCCCUGGGUUUGACGGUACCUCAGGAAUAAGCAACGGCCGACUCCGUGCCAGCAGCCGCGGUAAUACGGAGGUUGCAAGCGUUGUUCGGAAUUACUGGGCGUAAAGGGAGCGCAGGCGGCCGAAUCAGUCUGAAGUGAAAUCCCGGAGCUUAACUCCGGACGUGCUUUGGAAACUGUUUGGCUUGAGUUCGCGGGAGGUAAGCGGAAUUCCAGGUGUAGCGGUGAAAUGCGUAUAUAUCUGGAGGAACAUCGGUGGCGAAAGCGGCUUACUGGCGCGAGACUGACGCUGAGGCUGGAAAGCGUGGGGAGCGAACG